AUACUUACCUGCCAGGGGAGAUACCAUGAUCACGAAGGUGGUUUUCCCAGGUGAGGAUAAUUUAUUGUACUCCAGAUAUGCUAAACCCUGAGGGACUGUGUUCAUGCUUUCCCCUGGGAAAUGA
rnacentral:snRNA from 1 species